UCACGGCCGCGGAUGUGGGAAGCGCCGUGGGAGCGAUGGAGAGAGAGCCAGGGCGGCUGCUAGGGCCUCUUUCCGGUGGUGACACCACAGUGCACUUUGCUGGGUCCCAGUCACAAAGCGGAACCUAGCAUUAAAACAGGAAUAAGAGCUAAGAGGUUGUAGGCUGUAACAUUGUAAGAGUUAACUGGAACAUGAACAGCACAAAACAAGCAAGAAAACCCAAAAUUAUACCAGAAUGGAAAAGAAACCCUUCAGGCAGCAGCUGAAGAGUUUUCUAAACUCAAUUACUGCAAGAAUGCUGUGGCCAAUGGAAAAAUGUUUGAUGCAUGCCAGAAAACAAAUCUUCCCAGCUCUUGGAAGUAUGUUCUGAAAACAAAUAUGGAUCACACAAGA